rnacentral:rRNA from 1 species
UACGUAGGGCGCAAGCGUUGUCCGGAAUUAUUGGGCGUAAAGAGCUCGUAGGUGGCUUGUUGCGUCUGCCGUGAAAGCCCGUGGCUUUACUACGGGUCUGCGGUGGAUACGGGCAGGCUAGAGGCUGGUAGGGGCAAGCGGAAUUCCUGGUGUAGCGGUGAAAUGCGCAGAUAUCAGGAGGAACACCGGUGGCGAAGGCGGCUUGCUGGGCCAGUUCUGACGCUGAGGAGCGAAAGCGUGGGGAGCGAACAGG